AUGACCAAGGCCAAAGUAGCAGUCAUUUUGCUAAAAACAAGGAGACUGAAUAAAAAGGAUUUUCCUACCACUACAAAACACCAAGCUGACCCACAACUGCCUCCCCGAGACAACCGCCGCGAUACCCGCCACAGAGGACCAGAGGAGACGCACCAUUACAGCGGAAAGCGAGCCGACUGCCAGCGAAGGUCACCGAUCACACACUACCUCCGCUACCGCCGCGGGGGAUCCUGGGAAAGGACGCAGCACCCAGCAAAGGCGUUGGAUCGCGACAGACGCCGCUGCCGCGCAGCGCCCCCUACCGCUGCGGAGGACGAGAGCGCCCUCGAUAUCCCGGCUUCGACCUGCAGCCGCCCGCACCUCAUGCUCACUAACACCCAAGUCCUGCCAUGUCCCCAUACCCUCAACCGCUCCAGGUCCUUGCCCAGCCCUCACAGAGUUCAUAUCGCUGUACAGACCCGUGCGCACUCUCAUAUUCCCUCCUUACUCCCGCUCCCCGCGAAGGGAAUGCACUAGGAGCCCCGUGCAAGGACAAUGCUGGGACGGGCUCGAAGCGAGUCUUCGUGUAGCGUGUCGUUUAAAGAAUGCUUGUCCUGGAGGACCGGGAAGCACUCGCCGGGUCAGGUUUAGAAUGGUUGAGACAUCUACGUGCCUGGAACCACUUCCUCCAGGGGACGAAAAGUACAGAGUGACUGGGGUUCCAGAGCACCUCACGUCCCCUGUUCCGUGGGUGUGAGCGGGGCACUGACCACCCACCGACUCACAUGGCUGAAAAAGGCGAGAGCCCCUUACCAGCGCAAGAGUGAACCUGUAAAUAUGCUGCACCCUUCCCUCUCUUCUCUCUCUCUUCCCCGCUCUUUCCCCCUCUUCAGCCUUCCUGCAGCACCGGAACCGGCCCUUUCAGUCGCGGGGCGGGGCUUGGCUGAGGGCGGGAAAGAGGGUCGGCGUGAGGUGUGGAAGAGUGGUGGAGCGCUGUCGCCAUGUUGCGUGAACUCACCGAGGAGCAGAUUAGGGACUGGUUCACCAUAGGCAAAACUGUGACUGGCGUCGAGUUUUUGGGCGGCACGCAGCCCAGUCGCUUGAAUGCCCCUCUUGCUAUGCAGGAGCCAUUAGCAGCUGUAGGGUAAGUGUGGGGUGGGCUACUGAUUUUAGCAGCCAGGAGAUGCUCCUUAUGCCUGUAAUGAAGGGCUGUCUGUGGAGGCAUCUGUGGCCUCCCUUCCCUGGAGAGUGUGUUUGUGGGCCCGGGUGUGCAGGGUGUUUUUGCAUGGCCUGGAUUGGCGCCUGUGCCUCACCCACUCCAUGUGGGACUGGAUGGUGGGUUGUCAUAUUCCAGCUUAACACCCUCAGUAAUGUUUGUGGCUGUUAAAUAAAGCUAAUAGCACUUCUGUAAUACUUAGGGUUUGACAAGAGGUUCUUGAAGCCAACUGAACUCUAAGCAAUUGAAAUUACUGAGUAACAUAGGAGAAAUUAGCAUGAUUGAUCAAGCCUUGUGUGUCUAGGCAGAGGCAAAUCUUUUGUCUUUGAUUAGGCAGAUAGCUUUUUCCAUUCAAAAGCCUGAGCAGAUAACAUGUCUGUGGGGCCUGGCAGUUGUGUUAACAGAAUUUACUUUUCACAGCUUGCUUGUUUUUCUGUUUUUCUUUCCCAUCUAUAGAAGAGAGAGAGGGGUUAUACACCCUGAAUAGUCAUUUCUGUAUAUGUGGACAGAAUUUCUCAUCAUUAGACACGUAUAAAAUCUUAGAGCAUAGAUGAUAGGAGCAUGUGUGUUCUGCUGCAUAAUGAAAAAAUUGUGUUUGUAUAGCUGUGUUUUAUUUCACAGUUCUGGCAAUGUGCUUACAUUUAGGGAGGUUUUGUGAAACUUCUAUUUUGGAAAGGUUUAGGUUCCAUCAGAAGAUAUUUCCAUUUUAUUCACUGGUUUCUUAAGGAAGAGUUUAAAGAUUUAAAAACAAAGGAGUUUCUCCCUUCCUGAGGCUGUUUGUAGCUGUUAAACACAGCCACACAGUCUCUCUCUCCCCCCACCCCACCCCCCGCCCCGCCUUUAUUGAACGUUUUAGGGAAAGAUAAUAGAUCUCAGAAAUUGUGGUUGGAAUUUUGAUGCUUAAGUAGCUGGUUGAUGAACUUUUUCAUUUCUGUGAAUAUGUUUAACUGAAUGGAAAGUAAUUUAGACCCUUAAAACCUUCCUUGUUAUCAAAACAAUUGUGGCUCACAUUAAAACCCUUAAAGGCUUAAGUGUAGAAAAAAUAGUUACUCUUUCUUUGAUUUCUUGCAUUUCAUAGGUGUAGCUUUCACGAAGUUAGCCCUUUUUUAUAGCUACCUUAUUUGGCUGAAAACAUUGCAUGAUGUUUGUUUUGCCCUUUGAUAUCACUCACCUUUAUGUAACCUGAGUAGUAUGUGUUGGCUGCCUGCCCAUUUCAGAAAUACCAGCUGGGAGAGUUUAAGGAACAAAAUAGUUUCAGAUCAGCUCGUGUAGAUCAUGUAAGUCAUAAAUAAAAAGUGAUUGAAGAAACAGUUGAGUUCUCAGACAGUUAUCUUCAGGGAAAUGAUGUCUGACCUACAGCCAUGUUACUGCUACCUAACCUAUGGGUAAACUGAGUUCCAGAAAAUAGCUCAUCUUGGCUAGCAGACUGAGGUGCAGAUUCACUUUGUAGCAUUCUGAAGUAAACCUGGCAGAUUUCUUUAAAAUACAUUUAACUUUAUUUAGUUUAUCUUUGUGCUCUUAUACCUUUGCUUUUUCUAUGCUUCUCUCCACUUUUUAACUAGAGAGCAUACCUAAUACUUCCAUCAGAUUAAAGUGUUCAUAUUCUGUGUAGUUACCUCUUAUUUCUGUAUUUGAAAAAGUGGACAAAGUGAAGUCUUAGUGGCUGGCAUUUUCCCGUUCUCUGGAUAAAUUUAUUAACUGUACCCUCUCCAGUUUCCAGUUUGGUUUCUCCUUUCCCCCCAAGUGUGGACACUAGAACUGGAUGCAGUAGCCUAGUAUCAGUUUCAUUAAUAGAACAUGCAUAUGAAAGUAGGUAAGCAGUUUUGUGUGUUUCCAUAGCAUUUCAUUGGGAUUUAACACUAAAUUGGGUCUGAUGCCUAGAUAUAUUUAAUUAUCUAGUGACUGCCUUUUAGCAUAUAGUGUAGUUGAUGUUCCUUGUGGACUUAGGAGACUGCAUUUGCUUAUAUUAAAGUUAAAUUUAUGAAGAUUGAGUCAGCUGUAUUUGGUUUUUGGUGGUUUCAUUUUUGUUGUGGGUUUGGUUUUUUUUUUUUCCCCUACCUGUUUUUGAUUAUCAUAAAGGUAAGUGGACUUUGCAUCUUUAGUAGCCUACCAUUUUCCUUAAAAUAAAAUUUGUAACUUAGAUUGUUAGGGCUUUUUUCACCUAUUUUCCAUUAGAAAGCUGUGAGAGUACCAUUUUAGGAAACAAAUUUACAUGAGUUGCCAUUGCAGGAAUCUUGCACCUUUGACCAAAUAAAAAUUAUCUUCUGAAACCAGUGCUGCGAUUACCUUCUUUACUAUGGGAAAUGUACUUAAGUUUAAUUUUCUGGGGAAUUUUAUGACUAAGGAGAAACCUUUCUUUCAAACCAUUCCUGCCCUCAUGCAGGGAUUCAUGUCUGGAUUGUUUAGAACUGCAUGAGAAGAAUCUGAUGCCCUUUAUUCUGCAUCACAAGACAUAGUAAGUUGAGAUCAACACUUUUGCUGUUUAUCAAUAAACUGAUCCCUGCACAAAAGGGGAGUGAAGAGUUUGUACCAAUUCUGAGUGCAGAUAUAAUGAGUGAAGCUUCGUGUGUUUAAUUUAUGGAAAGUUCAAUACUUUCAGUAUUGAGCUGCAAUUUUUUAUUAUUCUAAAUUUGUUGGAACUGGUUUUGUCUAGUUCUCUAGUGCUUUCUCCCUUAGGUGUAUGCAGGAGUUGUGAUUGUUUCACUUUCUCUGUGUAUUAUGUUCCUUUCUUACAUAUUAAAUGUUCUCUAGAUUCUAAGCUUUCCAAAGCUGUGGGUUGGUUUCUUUUAAUAUUUUUAUUUCUUCUGAAAAUAUUCUGUCAUUUGUUUCACCCAAUUUAUGUUGCUUUAUUAGUAAAUUCUCUCUUGGGUGGGGGUACAGCUAUGCAGCACAAGGAAAUAUCUUCCAGUUGUGUUACCACCUUGGGAGAAUCUGCAUGUUUUCUUCAGUAUGUUUGAAUCAAAUAUCAGAGGAAGCAAUUUUACUGCAUGUUUGCAAAAUAGUGCAUUUUGUGAACUGGGCUGUAUGAGUCUUGCCCAUUCUUUAUGGUGCUGCAGCCAGAUUACAAGGAAAUCUGGACAUGAAGAGGUUACAUAAGACAAGACUUUUUCUAUACAGUGGUAGGAAAUGUAGUAAACUGAGUUCUGGCAUAUAUUUUCAUUGAUUUUCUGCUUCAGUUGUCUGCUGUGACCGUAACUGCAACAUGUCAAAUCAGUCUUACAAAACUUUAUUAUGAAUCCACAAUGAUAGAUGAUGGCUACUGAAAACCAUGAAAUUUUGUUAAAUUUAAAAUGGUCAUCUCUUGCCUUGGAAUUGAUCUGAUUAUUUUUCUGCUAUUCUAUAAAAGUACUGAUUUGAUGAAAACAUUGAAAUUUAAUACAGACUCUUGAGUUUCC
ensembl:lncRNA